GUCUCUGUGGCACAAUAGGUCAGCGCGUUUGGCCCUUAACCGAAAGGUUGGUGGUUCAAGCCCACUCAGGGACG